rnacentral:rRNA from 1 species
GAUGAACGCUGGCGGCGUGCCUAACACAUGCAAGUCGAGCGAAGCACUUUGCUUAGAUUCUUUCGGGAUGAAGAGUGAUUUGACUGAGCGGCGGACGGGUGAGUAACGCGUGGGUAACCUGCCUCAUACAGGGGGAUAACAGUUAGAAAUGACUGCUAAUACCGCAUAAGACCACGGUGUCGCAUGACACAGUGGUAAAAACUCCGGUGGUAUGAGAUGGACCCGCGUCUGAUUAGCUGGUUGGUAAGGUAACGGCUUACCAAGGCGACGAUCAGUAGCCGACCUGAGAGGGUGACCGGCCACAUUGGGACUGAGACACGGCCCAAACUCCUACGGGAGGCAGCAGUGGGGAAUAUUGCACAAUGGGGGAAACCCUGAUGCAGCGACGCCGCGUGAGCGAAGAAGUAUUUCGGUAUGUAAAGCUCUAUCAGCAGGGAAGAAACUGACGGUACCUGACUAAGAAGCAC